GCCUGCUUAGCUCAGUGGUAGAGCGCGUCACUUGUAAAACCCGCGAUGGACUGCAUGACGAGGUCAGUCGUUCAAACCGGCUAGUUGGCA